AGGCCAAGAGGACCAAGAGAAACAAAGUGGAGCAGAUCACUGAUGCAGGUCCCUCUACAUCUGUGGAAUUCUCUGGGAUGGCAGUUCAGGGGACAUCUCACCAGGGACAAUCUAAUGAGAAGAUCCUAAGUGAGUGUGUCUCCAGGGCCUGUCAGACCAGGGCUCUUGACCUCCCUCCAAUCGAUCCGGAUGCUUUCAACCCGAUUAUCAUCCGGUUUCUGGAAAAACUUACUGAGGAGCAAUGGAGGCAGUUAAGCAUUGGCAGGAUGGACCCUGUAAUC